AGCCAAGUAAUUCCAAAUAAUAUUGCACACUUAAUGGGUAGUGAUAUAUAGCAGGAUACAUUUUAUUAUAUGAGAGGGGAAAUCAUGCGGCAUGCACAACCGAUGUAUAAAGAUACAAUACAAUACAACAAUAAGUUCUGAAUGACAAAGGGAUUGACAAUAAAAUAUACUAGCAAGAAGUACUUCAUUCCCCUUAUUCGAAUAGUGGUAUGUUCGGCAGUUCUUCCUUAAUUUUAGCCCGUGUUCCCAAACCUUUUCUGACGAGUAACAACAGAAAUGACAUACAACCUGUCAUAUAGCUUGUCGAGUACCCCAAAAUAAGUAUACCUCCAUCUCUUCAUGAAUAGAAGCCCGCAAAAUACCAUCCAAACACCCACCACAAAACCAACAAAUAAUCCAUUUGAGACGAGCCAUAUUCAAACCAUCUUGCUGAAUCUCCAUUGCUGGGCGGAUCUCUAGGAGAACGUGGGCAUUGCCUUGAAACUGGAAGUCCACAAAGACCAGGAUUACCAAUGUACAUGGAAGCUGGAUCAUUUGUCUCAAGGAUGUCGAGUUGAUGCCCUAAGGGUAUUCUUCCUGACAGAUUAUUGUAUGACAAAUUGAGACAGCUCAAGUAUGUCAAAUCUGAUAAGCCUUCCGGAAUUUCACCAGCAUGUUUGUUCUUUGAGAGAUCAAGAGACUCCAGUGAGCGAAGGUUUCCAAUCUUAUAUGGAAUAUUUCCACUCAGCAAGUUUGAUGAUAAAUUCAAAUUUAUGAGUCCAACGAGGGAGGUAAGGUCCUCCGGGAUUUCUCCGAUUAAACUAUUGCAAGAUAAAUCAAUGCUCAUCAAGUAUAGAGUAUUCUCCCUGUGCUCUAGCAGUUGCCCUUUUAUCACCACCAAGAAGCUAUCAUUAGACAGACUAGAGGACAUGGACAUAGAGCUACGAUAUCCUUCCUCAAAAGGAUUAUCAAAUGAUAUAUUAUUAGAAGUAGAAGUGUGAGUCAAAGCUUUCAAUUUUUCUAAACAUUUUGGUAUGGCCCCAGAAAAAUUAUUAUUGGACAGAUCCAGGAUACGAACAUCUUGAAGUCCCAUUAUUUCAACUGGAAUGUGACCUGAAAAUUUGUUUGAUCUUAACCGUAGCAUAACCAAACCAGGCAUGGCUUCGCUAAUCCAUCCAGGUAACUCUCCAGUGAAUUUGUUUUGAGUUAGAUCGAGGAAAACCAGCCUUGGACAUUGUCGUAGGAACAAAGGAAAUCCACUUGAAAAACUGUUGUUGCUUAGAAGGAAACUAGUGAUCCUCAAACUGAAAUAUCUCAGAGAUCUGACUUUUGAGGAGUUGUUGCUAGACGGGUUCCCCUGUUUUAGCUCUUUUAUACCACAAUCAGGAAGUUCCUUUGAAAGCAGAUUGUUCGAAAGAUCCAAAACCCGCAAUUUUCGCAUUCGACAAAUUGUUUUCGGAAUAGUCCCAGUUAUAGAAUUGGAAAAAAGAGCUGCCGCCCGUAGUUGUGGAGCUUGGAAAUUUGGCACAAAGCCAUUUAAAGAGUUUCUAGAUAUGUCCAGUAUCUCAGUUGUUCUUGAUAACUUGGGUAUCAAACCAGUUAGCAGAUUUGACUGCAUUAAAAGUUUAAUCACUGACAUGAACUCGAGAUUGAGUGGCAAAUUGCCACUAAGAUGGUUCAAGGAGAUGUCCAAAUAUGUAGCAUCAGAAAAGGUAGUCCAAAACCAAUAUGGGAUCUUACCAACUAGGCCUGUGUUUGAAAUAUGAAGGAUCUUGGUGCUUUUCUGCCAACGAAGCCAUUUAGGAAAUUGGGGACCUAAAUGACAAGAUGAAAACCAUGCUGAUUCCAAGUUGAACGGAGGCAUCCAAUGUGAGUCCACAAUAACAUCCAAAUUAUUAGAGGAUAAGUCAAGAGACUCUAAAUUCAUCAAACCUGCAAAAUGGUCUUCUGAUAUCAGACCACUCAAGUUGUUGCGUCCAAGGUACAAGUGAGUCAAACUUGUAAGCGUGCCAAUCUCUGCAGGCACUGAACCGCUCAAGGUGUUGUUUCCAAGGUUUAAGUAGGUCAAAUUUGCAAGCGUGCCAAUCUCCACGGGCACUGAACCACUCAAUUGGUUUCCAUGGACAUUAAGCACGUAUAAGCUAGUCAGGUUUGUCACAAAUUGUAAUGUUGUGCCAGUGAUGUUGGCAUCCAUUAGAGCCAAUUCUUGCAAAUUCUUCCGAGAACAAUUAGGUAUCCUAUCUAUCACCUCUGUUAUGCCCCCGCCGAUGUUGUUGAAGCUGAGACCAAGAGACCGUAAGUUACACAUGUUUUUCAGUGUUGCAGGUAUCAUUCCUUGGAUGUUGUUUCCUUGAACGUCAAAAGUCUCCAACAAGGUCAAGUUGCCCAACUCGUCAGGAAACGUGCCUGAUAAUUCACAACCCCGUAAGUGUAGCCUUUUGAGGCUAGUUAUGUCCCAAAACCAGUUGGAUGCAGACGGACCUUGGAAAGGGUUAUAAGAGAGGUCAAGCUCCUCAAGAACUGUAAGGUUCUGGUGUACAAGUGACCAUGAAACAUUACUCUUAAUAAGACCACAUGAAAACAUAGCCAGCACAACCAAAUUGGGAAGGGCGUUGACCUUAUGGACCCAGUCAAUGACUCCGCUGAGGUUGAUCCCGCCCAUGUUAAGAUGCUCUAGAAAGCCAAGAGAUGCUAACCAAGAUAUAUCAUUUGUGUGUAGAUCAGUGUCAUAAUUGGCAUGUAUGUCAAGUUGUACUAGCUUGGAGAGGUUGCCUAGCUGAGGAGGCACUCUGCCACGAAAACCCAUGUUGGAGAGGUUGAGAUACCUCAAACUCCGGAGAGAGCCCAGGAACCCCGGCAUAGCCUUUGCAUCUCCGAGAAAAAUAUUCCAGCUCAGGCCGAGAUGCUUGAGACGUCGGAGAGCAAGCAGCGAAGAAGAUACCUGUCCGCGCAGCGAGUGGUUUUCAGUGUCACCAGGAUCAAGGAAAUAAUCCUCUUCUGGAGCUGGAUAAUCGUUGCGGAGGUCGAGCUUGAUGACGUGGCCUGUCCGGCGGCUGCAGGUGAUGCCGCUCCACAGACAGCAGUCGUGGUGUCCUUGCUGCCAUGAUGCGAGGCGAUUCGCCGGGUCGACUGUGAUGUCGGCCUUGAAGGAGAGCAGCGCAGCCCUCUCGGCCGGGAUGCAGCUCCCGUUGGAUCUUCCAUCGACAACGGAGAAGGUGGCGGUGGUCGAGGCAGCUAGGAUGGCAAGGAAGAGCAAGCUUGAUGCAGCCAUUGCGUUGUUGCUCUGAAGGUGCCCUGAAGGCGCACGCAUGGAUGAGGGUGCCCUGAAGGAAAACAUGGUCGUGGCAC
rnacentral:rRNA from 1 species